UACGUAGGGGGCAAGCGUUGUCCGGAAUCAUUGGGCGUAAAGCGCGCGUAGGCGGCCCGGUAAGUCCGUUGUGAAAGUCAAAGGCUCAACCUUUGAACGCCGAUGGAUACUGCCGGGCUAGAGUCCGGAAGAGGCGAGUGGAAUUCCUGGUGUAGCGGUGGAAUGCGCAGAUAUCAGGAGGAACACCGGUGGCGAAGGCGGUUCUCUGGGCAUUACCUGACGCUGAGGAGCGAAAGUGUGGGGAGCGAACAGG
rnacentral:rRNA from 1 species